UAUAUUUGCCAACCACUUUAUAGUGUUUACAUAAAAAUCAUUAAAAUUAAUAUUGGCAUG
rnacentral:ncRNA from 1 species